rnacentral:rRNA from 1 species
GGGGGGGGGGGGGGGGGGGGGGGGGGGGGGGGGGGCGGGGGGGGGGGCGGGGCGGGGGGGGGGGGCUCGAGUGGGGAAGGGGUGAGUGACACGUGAGUAGCCUGCCCUUGGCUUUGGGAUAACUUCAGGAGACUGGGGCUAAUACCGGAUAGUAGCUCCUGCUGCAUGGUGGGGGUUGGAACGUUUCGGCGGUUGGGGAUGGACUCGCGGCUUAUCAGCUUGUUGGUGGGGUAGUGGCUUACCAAGGCUUUGACGGGUAGCCGGCCUGAGAGGGUGACCGGCCACAUUGGGACUGAGAUACGGCCCAGACUCCUACGGGAGGCAGCAGUGGGGAAUAUUGCACAAUGGGCGGAAGCCUGAUGCAGCAACGCCGCGUGCGGGAUGACGGCCUUCGGGUUGUAAACCGCUUUCGCCUGUGACGAAGCGUGAGUGACGGUAAUGGGUAAAGAAGCACCGGCUAACUACGUG